rnacentral:rRNA from 1 species
AUUGAACGCUGGCGGCAUGCCUUACACAUGCAAGUCGAACGGCAGCACGGGUGCUUGCACCUGGUGGCGAGUGGCGAACGGGUGAGUAAUAUAUCGGAACGUACCUUAUUGUGGGGGAUAACGCAGCGAAAGCUGUGCUAAUACCGCAUAAUCCCUAAGGGGGAAAGCGGGGGACAGUAAGGCCUCGCGCAAUUAGAGCGGCCGAUACCUGAUUAGCUAGUUGGUGAGGUAAAGGCUCACCAAGGCAACGAUCAGUAGCUGGUCUGAGAGGACGAGCAGCCACACUGGGACUGAGACACGGCCCAGACUCCUACGGGAGGCAGCAGUGGGGAAUUUUGGACAAUGGGGGCAACCCUGAUCCAGCAAUGCCGCGUGAGUGAAGAAGGCCUUCGGGUUGUAAAGCUCUUUUGUCAGGGAAGAAACAGCAGCUCUAACACAGUUUGCGAAUGACGGUACCUGAAGAAUAAGCACCGGCUAACUACGUGCCAGCCGCCGCAGUAA